GAGGGCGUAGCUCAGUAGGUAGAGCAACGGCCUUUUAAGCCGUGGGUCUUGGGUUCGAGUCCCAACGCCCUCA
rnacentral:tRNA from 1 species